UACAGAGGUCCCGAGCGUUAGGCGGAAUCACUGGGCUUAAAGCGUGUGUAGGUGGAUCGUUAAGUACCUUGUGAAAUCCCACGGCUUAACCGUGGAACUGCUUGGUAUACUGGCGGUCUUGAGCCAGCUAGGGGCUACCGGAACAAAUGGUGGAGCGGUGAAAUGCGUAGAUAUCAGGAGGAACACCGGUGGCGAAGGCGGGUCUCUGGGCCGAUAUUGACGCUGAGGAGCGAAAGCGUGGGGAGCAAACAGG
rnacentral:rRNA from 1 species